rfam:Callithrix jacchus chromosome 4, whole genome shotgun sequence
AUGCUCACUUUGGCAGCACAUAUACUAAAAUUGGAAUGAUACAGAGAAGAUUAGCAUGGCCCCUGUGCAAGAAUGACACACAAAUUCUUGAAGCGUCCAUAAAAAAAAAAUCUUU